AUGAACGCUGGCGGCGUGCCUAAUACAUGCAAGUAGAACGCUGAAGGAAGGAGCUUGCUCUUUCCGGAUGAGUUGCGAACGGGUGAGUAACGCGUAGGUAACCUGCCUGGUAGCGGGGGAUAACUAUUGGAAACGAUAGCUAAUACCGCAUAACAGUAGAUGUUGCAUGAUAUCUACUUAAAAGGUGCAAUUGCACCACUACCAGAUGGACCUGCGUUGUAUUAGCUAGUUGGUGAGGUAACGGCUCACCAAGGCGACGAUACAUAGCCGACCUGAGAGGGUGAUCGGCCACACUGGGACUGAGACACGGCCCAGACUCCUACGGGAGGCAGCAGUAGGGAAUCUUCGGCAAUGGACGGAAGUCUGACCGAGCAACGCCGCGUGAGUGAAGAAGGGUUUCGGAUCGUAAAGCUCUGUUGUAAGAGAAGAACGAGUGUGAGAGUGGAAAGUUCACACUGUGACGGUAUCUUACCAGAAAGGGACGGCUAACUACGUG
rnacentral:rRNA from 1 species